AUACUCUAAGGGAAAAGCUACGAUGAUCCGUGUGCUUGCGGUUCACAACUUGGCAUGCUAACUGCUGUCAAUAAUCUUUUCUGGCACCAUUCCUGGGGAUCGACAACUCGAACACUAGGGCGAUCUGUCUAAUUUUUCAGAGUAACCCUAAUUUUUCUAUUGCAUAUAUCCUGUUUUUCUUGUUUGCGUCCUUGAAAGCAGGUAAAUACUAGAUGCCAGAUGAUCGAACAUGGACU
rnacentral:lncRNA from 1 species